rnacentral:rRNA from 1 species
GACGUAGGGCGCGAGCGUUGUCCGGAUUUAUUGGGCGUAAAGAGCUCGUAGGCGGCUUGUCGCGUCGACUGUGAAAACCCGCGGCUCAACCGCGGGCCUGCAGCCGAUACGGGCAGGCUAGAAUUCGGUAGGGGAGACUGGAAUUCCUGGUGUAGCGGUGAAAUGCGCAGAUAUCAGGAGGAACACCGGUGGCGAAGGCGACUACCUGGCCUGUUCUUGACGCUGAGGCGCGAAAGCUAGGGGAGCAAACGGG